GCCUUAUAUGGGGGAGUAGCCUUUCAAGGAAGAUUAAUACCGCAUAAGAUUGUAGUAUCGCAUGAUAUAGCAAUUAAAGGAGCAAUUCGCUAUAAGAUGGACCCGCGUCGCAUUAGCUAGUUGGUGAGGUAAUGGCUCACCAAGGCGACGAUGCGUAGCCGACCUGAGAGGGUGAUCGGCCACAUUGGACUGAGACACGGCCCAGACUCCUACGGGAGGCAGCAUG
rnacentral:rRNA from 1 species